rnacentral:rRNA from 1 species
UGGGGAAUAUUGGACAAUGGAGGCAACUCUGAUCCAGCAAUGCCGCGUGAGUGAAGAAGGCCUUAGGGUUGUAAAGCUCUUUCAGAUGUGAAGAUGAUGACUGUAACAUCAGAAGAAGCCCCGGCUAACUUCGUGCCAGCAGCCGCGGUAAUACGAAGGGGGCUAGCGUUGUUCGGAAUCACUGGGCGUAAAGCGCACGCAGGCGGCUUCAUUAGUCAGAAGUGAAAGCCCAAGGCUCAACCUUGGAAUUGCUUUUGAUACUGUGAGGCUAGAGUUCGGAAGAGGAGUGGGGAAUUCCUAGUGUAGAGGUGAAAUUCGUAGAUAUUAGGAGGAACACCAGUGGCGAAGGCGCCACUCUGGUACGUAACUGACGCUCAUGUGCGAAAGCGUGGGGAGCAAACAGGAUUAGAUACCCGCGUAGUCC